UACGGAAGGGGCUAGCGUUGUUCGGAAUCAUUGGGCGUAAAGGGCGCGUAGGUGGUUCUGUGUGUCUACCGUGAAAGCGUACGGCUCAACCGUAUUUUGUCGGUAGAAACUGCAGGACUUGAGGCUGGGAGGGGCUGGUGGAAUUCCCUGUGUAGCGGUGAAAUGCGUAGAGAUGGGGGAGAACACUCGUGGCGAAGGCGGCCAGCUAGACCAGUUCUGACACUGAGGCGCGACAGCGUGGGGAGCAAACAGG
rnacentral:rRNA from 1 species